GCUACAGAAGUGGCAGCAGAGGUGUAAAUACGGCAGAUGAUAUUGUUAUCGUGAAGCAUGGGGUUUAAAGGUUCCCUAGGGGGCCAUAAACUUCAUCGGUGAAAGUUUUGGACUUAACCAAAAAUGUGCAAGUGAUACUGUAGGGCUGUACUAUUGGUGAAGUAAUUGGAAUAGGUAGUUUAGCUGUGAAAUGCUUAGAUAUUACAUGGAAUACCAAUUGCGAAGGCAGGUUACUAACAAAUGAUUGACGCUGAUGGACGAUAUCGUGGGUAGCGAACAGGAUUAGAUACCCGAGUAUUC
rnacentral:rRNA from 1 species